UUUUAUAACUCUUUAUAAUUAGGUGGCCUGGUAUAAUAGAAGCUGAUCCUGACACUGAUGCCUACUAUGAAGCAAAGAAUGAAAAAGGUGGGAAACCUUCACCAGCUACACCUGAGAAGUAUCAUGUUGUCUUUAUUGAUACACCAGUAUCAAGGAGUUGGAUCCAUGCACUAAACACUGCUCCAUUUACCUGUAGUACCACUUUAAAGGACUGUGGAUCAAAUAUUCCAUUGAAGUAUCAAGCUGGUCUUUCUACAGCAAUGUCGCAGGCAAAAUCUGCUUUGAGUCUACCACUAAAUGAGAGAUUGUCUCAGUGGGGUUUCAUGUCCCGAUAUAAUAAAGGUCGUAAGAGAAAAGGCAGCUCAAAUCAAGGCAAGAGGAAAGCCUUCAAAAAGACCAACUGCUAAACUGUCUAAGAAAAACGAUGAAAUAGCUCCAUGAAGAACACAUCUUGUAUACAUUAUUCAUCCAGCAUUAAUCACUUAUAACUAUAUCAGAAUUAACCACUUCAUAUUAGAUCUAUUAUAGCUGGUCUAUUAUUGUUAUUGUAUUUA